rnacentral:snoRNA from 1 species
CGUAGAUGAUGAUUUCUACUUAUUGGUCCGUGUUGAUGAUAGGCUAUGGCCAUGAAUAUAAUAAUAAGUCCUGACACA